CGUUUCUCUCACCUGGUCGGGCUCUUCUUGUCUCCCAUGGCUAGUCGGAUGGGGCCGGCCGGUGGGCCGCGGCUGAGCCUGCCUCGGCGCGUCGGCAGUGAUCUUAGCCGCACGGGCAAGCCACCCCGAUGUUCAACCCUUAUCCUGGGAUGCGGCGAUCUUAGCCGCACGGGCAAGCCACCCCGAUGUUCAACCCUUAUCCUGGGACGCGUCUGACUCGGAUCAAAGAAGGCCGAGGGAAGCGCGGAACCCGACGGGGUCACGAGGGCUUUUCCUGCCUAGCUGACGAACCAGCCUCCGGCCAAGUUUCGACACUGGAACCUAGAAGGCCGCUGGGUGACGACAGAAAGGCCGCAAACAUCAGUCCUAUCACCGCUCGACAUGAACGGGCCCAAAAGCGGACUCCACCUUAAGAAGGGAACUAUAAGAAGAAGCCAACCACUGGACCAGGCUCGCCACCUCCCUUAAGGGAUGGACGCCCGCUGCGUGCGUUACACCGAUUUGGCCUACCGGGGGUACUUGUAAUCAGUUGGAAUAAAGCUGCUCUUGUUUGCUAUUGGCUUGA